rnacentral:rRNA from 1 species
UUGAACGCUGGCGGCAUGCCUUACAUAUGCAAGUCGAACGGUAACGCGGGGCAACCUGGCGACGAGUGGCGAACGGGUGAGUAAUGCAUCGGAACGUGCCCAGUAGUGGGGGAUAGCCCGGCGAAAGCCGGAUUAAUACCGCAUACGACCUACGGGUGAAAGCGGGGGACUCGCAAGAGCCUCGCGCUAUUGGAGCGGCCGAUGUCAGAUUAGGUAGUUGGUGGGGUAAAGGCCUACCAAGCCGACGAUCUGUAGCUGGUCUGAGAGGACGACCAGCCACACUGGGACUGAGACACGGCCCAGACUCCUACGGGAGGCAGCAGUGGGGAAUUUUGGACAAUGGGCGCAAGCCUGAUCCAGCAAUGCCGCGUGCAGGAUGAAGGCCUUCGGGUUGUAAACUGCUUUUGUACGGAACGAAACGGUGAGCUCUAAUACAGUUUGCUAAUGACGGUACCGUAAGAAUAAGCACCGGCUAACUACGU